GACGAACGCUGGCGGCGUGCUUAACACAUGCAAGUCGAACGGAAAGGCCCUGCUUUUGUGGGGUGCUCGAGUGGCGAACGGGUGAGUAACACGUGAGUAACCUGCCCUUGACUUUGGGAUAACUUCAGGAAACUGGGGCUAAUACCGGAUAGGAGCUCCUGCUGCAUGGUGGGGGUUGGAAAGUUUCGGCGGUUGGAGAUGGACUCGCGGCUUAUCAGCUUGUUGGUGGGGUAGUGGCUUACCAAGGCUUUGACGGGUAGCCGGCCUGAGAGGGUGACCGGCCACAUUGGGACUGCGAUACGGCCCAGACUCCUACGGGAGGCAGCAGUGGGGAAUAUUGCACAAUGGGCGGAAGCCUGAUGCAGCAACGCCGCGUGCGGGAUGACGGCCUUCGGGUUGUAAACCGCUUUCGCCUGUGACGAAGCGUGAGUGACGGUAAUGGGUAAAGAAGCACCGGCUAACUACGUG
rnacentral:rRNA from 1 species